AUACGUAGGGUGCGAGCGUUAAUCGGAAUUACUGGGCGUAAAGCGUGCGCAGGCGGUUUUGUAAGGCAGUGGUGAAAUCCCCGGGCUCAACCUGGGAACUGCCAUUGUGACUACAAGGCUGGAGUGCGGCAGAGGGGGAUGGAAUUCCGCGUGUAGCAGUGAAAAGCGUAGAUAUGCGGAGGAACACCGAUGGCGAAGGCAAUCCCCUGGGCCGGCACUGACGCUCAUGCACGAAAGCGUGGGGAGCAAACAGGAUUAGAUACCCUGGUAGUCCACGCCCUAAACGAUGUCAACUGGUUGUUGGGAAUUUAUUUUCUCAGUAACGAAGCUAACGCGUGAAUUUGACCGCCUGGGGAGUACGGCCGCAAGGUUAAAACUCAAAUGAAUUGACGGGU
rnacentral:rRNA from 1 species